rnacentral:rRNA from 1 species
UACGUAGGUGGCAAGCGUUGUCCGGAUUUACUGGGCGUAAAGCGCGUGUAGGCGGCCCGGUAAGUCCGCUGUGAAAGUCCAGGGCUCAACCCUGGGAUGCCGGUGGAUACUGUCGGGCUCGAGUCCGGAAGAGGCGAGUGGAAUUCCUGGUGUAGCGGUGAAAUGCGCAGAUAUCAGGAGGAACACCAAUGGCGAAGGCAGCUCGCUGGGACGUGACUGACGCUGAGACGCGAAAGCGUGGGGAGCAAACAGG